CAGAAAGCAGCAUGCCCUUUCUGACACCGAUGGUAACGCUGAAGAAAUGUGCAGCAAUACCUAUUUCUUUAGGUUUGGAGUGAAAAAGUAAACUAUCUUCUGGAAAAAUUUGAAGUAAUCUUAUGAGAAAAUGUAAAAGUGAUACAAAUGAACAGCUUAAUGUAUCUAAAACAGCAUUAAUAAUCCUACCUGGGUAGUUUUGACAGCAUAAUGAUGUAUAAUAUGUCACUGACAGUCGAAUGACAAUGACUACACAAAGGCCUUUUAAUGUACAGUGUAUCAAUCUUUGAGUUGAUUAAUAACUAUUGACUAUAUGUAUGGAUUGUAUAACAUAUACCAUGUAAACAUAGAAAUCUAUAGUUGAAU
rnacentral:misc_RNA from 1 species